GGGAACAGCUGCUCCGUGCAGCGCAGCUCCCGCGGGCGGGCGGCCGGCGGUGAGAAAACGAGCAGCGCUGUCAGGGCCCAUCAGCACGGCGGGGCUGACGGCAGCACCCGUGCCACUGGGGACGGGGGGCGGUGCUGGGAUGCUGCUGCAGUAAGGGAUAGAGCUGUGUGGCUGCAGGCUGACGUGCAGCUGCCCGACCUCAUGGCUUCAUCACGGCCACCAUCACCCUGUGCUGAGAUGCAGCUGAACCAUCGUGGGUGACUCACUCUGCAGGCUGGGUGCUGUGAGGGGACCACUGCCACAAGCUCACUCCCAGCAAGACCAGC
rnacentral:lncRNA from 1 species